UGGGGGAUAUUGCACAAUGGGGGAAACCCUGAUGCAGCGACGCCGCGUGGAGGAAGAAGGUUUUCGGAUUGUAAACUCCUGUCGUUAGGGACGAUAAUGACGGUACCUAACAAGAAAGCACCGGCUAACUACGUGCCAGCAGCCGCGGUAAAACGUAGGGUGCAAGCGUUGUCCGGAAUUACUGGGUGUAAAGGGAGCGCAGGCGGGAAGACAAGUUGGAAGUGGAAACCAUGGGCUCAACCCAUGAAUUGCUUUCAAAACUGUUUUUCUUGAGUAGUGCAGAGGUAGAUGGAAUUCCCGGUGUAGCGGUGGAAUGCGUAGAUAUCGGGAGGAACACCAGUGGCGAAGGCGGUCUACUGGGCACCAACUGACGCUGAGGCUCGAAAGCAUGGGUAGCAAACAGGAUUAGAUACCCUGGUAGUCCAUGCCGUAAACGAUGAUUACUAGGUGUUGGGGGAUUGACCCCCUCAGUGCCGCAGUUAACACAAUAAGUAAUCCACCUGGGGAGUACGACCGCAAGGUUGAAACUCAAAGGAAUUGACGGGGGCCCGCACAAGCAGUGGAGUAUGUGGUUUAAUUCGAAGCAACGCGAAGAACCUUACCAGGUCUUGACAUCCGAUGCAUAACACAGAGAUGUGUGAAAUCCUUCGGGACAUCGAGACAGGUGGUGCAUGGUUGUCGUCAGCUCGUGUCGUGAGAUGUUGGGUUAAGUCCCGCAACGAGCGCAACCCUUAUUGCCAGUUACUACGUUAAGAGGACUCUGGCGAGACUGCCGUUGACAAAACGGAGGAAGGUGGGGAUGACGUCAAAUCAUCAUGCCCUUUAUGACCUGGGCUACACACGUACUACAAUGGCGUUAAACAAAGAGAAGCAAGACCGCGAGGUGGAGCAAAACUCAAAAACAACGUCUCAGUUCAGAUUGCAGGCUGCAACUCGCCUGCAUGAAGUCGGAAUUGCUAGUAAUCGCGGAUCAGCAUGCCGCGGUGAAUACGUUCCC
rnacentral:rRNA from 1 species